rnacentral:lncRNA from 1 species
AGCGGUUAAGACCGAGCAUCGCCUACUGGAUUUCUUUCAGCUUUAUGGCUAUGUUAUCGGUCUUUACUUCGUAGUCUGUGGUUAUUAGAGACCCGAUUACGGACUGUUUAAAGGUUUGUCACUUGAAAAUAGUAUUUCCUUUUUAUUUAUCAUAGUAAUUAGCUUUAAAAUGUCAGAUUAAGGAGAAAACUCAUCCAAAAGCAUUAUGAUGAAGAGUAUUAUGUGUCUUAUGAACUGAAAGCAGGUGGUAGAAAAAGGACAGGGGCGCAGGUUAGUGCGGUGUUGUCCUUAGAUCCUGGGCAACCAAACACUGGUAUCAAGGUGGAAGCCUUAUAUCAAUCUCCAUUUUAACAAGAAGAUCUUUCAUCAUCUCCUCCCUCCCUUAUCACCAAUGAGUCUUGCAAUGAAGGUGCUUGCAUGGAGGAUAACUGUGAUCCAAACAACACAAACUUAACUGAAGCUAUACUUGCUAAUAUGUAAUACCACUAGAUCAAUAAUGGAGGCAACAAGUAUUUAUGGGUUUUUUAUGAAUUUUCCACAAAAUAGAUUUCAAUUUGAG